GUAAUGCCGGAUGCUCCAGUUGAUCGCAUGGUCUUCUGGGAAAGCUUUCGCGGUAUGGGAUGGGGUCGCGUCCUAUCAGCUUGACGGCGGGGUAACGGCCCACCGUGGCUUCGACGGGUAGCCGGCCUGAGAGGGCGACCGGCCACAUUGGGACUGAGAUACGGCCCAGACUCCUACGGGAGGCAGCAGUGGGGAAUAUUGCACAAUGGGCGCAAGCCUGAUGCAGCGACGCCGCGUGAGGGAUGGAGGCCUUCGGGUUGUAAACCUCUUUUAUCGGGGAGCAAGCGAGAGUGAGUUUACCCGUUGAAUAAGCACCGGCUAACUACGUGCCAGCAGCCGCGGUAAUACGUAGGGUGCAAGCGUUAUCCGGAAUUAUUGGGCGUAAAGGGCUCGUAGGCGGUUCGUCGCGUCCGGUGUGAAAGUCCAUCGCUUAACGGUGGAUCCGCGCCGGGUACGGGCGGGCUUGAGUGCGGUAGGGGAGACUGGAAUUCCCGGUGUAACGGUGGAAUGUGUAGAUA
rnacentral:rRNA from 1 species